ensembl:lncRNA
GCUCUGGUGUUUUUGUCUGGAGUGGUACUGGGGGAUUUACCUACACUUCAGCUGCUGCUGUUUGCGAGAUGGGCAGGAGCCAUAGGAAUGCCACCAGCAAAUGCUGUAUCUCAGAAAGAGAAACUCUUACUACAUACAGCUGAGGCUCAGCAACUUGGCUUAGGCAGUAGCUUCUGACCUGAGCAGCACGAAGAGAAUAAACAACACUCAAAAACUGGAAGGAUCAACCUGUCAGUGUGCUAUGGCUGGGUGCACCAGCAAAUCACGACGUGCUCUUCAGUUGCUGCGACAAGAUCUCUUCUGCUGACUGACACCUAGAUCCUUGGAGAAAGAGAAAUGAUCCAGUGAGAGCAGUGCUUCGUGAAGUGCACGGUGACUUAAGACCCACUCCUGCCAGAGGAGCUUGAGGCAGAAAGACAAGAAAGAGGAGAGAUGAAAGAGGCAGAGAUGCUCUUUUUAUUCUCCCCCCUCUCUGUCACUGCAAGAUGGAAGCUGCUGCCCAACAGGAAGAUACAGAAACAUCAGAACAACGAGCCCCUGCAGCCUGAUAGCUUGGAGCUCUGGUGUAAAGGAGGUUCUGCUUUACACCUCUUCAGACCGAGAGAAGCAGAGCUGCACUCAGUAUCAGCGGGUUUUUCCACUACCGCUCUAAAAUCUUCUGGAGUGCUAAAAGCACCAGGACAUCCGUGCACUCUUCACAGCCCUUUUUGGGAACAACUAUGUGUCACCAUCCGACCGCUCAGGAAACCACGCAGCUGGGCAGGAAGAGCCAGGAAGGGCUCAGCCUCCCUGCACACUUCUAGGGCACAAAAUGAAUCAACUUGCCCUGCCCAGAGCCGGUUUUCCAAGCUCCUGCCAGGGAUGAGGAGAGAAUCCGUGCUUCUGCAGACACCUCAGCUCCUGCCUGGCACUGAGAGCUGUGCGUGGAGGUUCAGUGCAGCCAUCACCAGAUGGUGCUGCUGCAUUCAGCCUUGCAGGGUCACUGUGUGCACGAGUGUUGGGAUUCUUGGAAGAAAAUACUGAACUGUGGAUGUUUUCCUGCUGCUUGGAUGUCUGGAGAGCAGGCAGGGCAUGCUCUGCCUUCAUGUCACUGGCCAGUUCUCUUUGAGAACCAGACGUUCGGGCUUUGGCCGGGAAUUCAGAGCAGGGGUGGGUUCAGAUGAUGUUUGAGAUGAUCUGUUCCAGCCUGGCUCAAGUGGAUAAACAAAAUUAAUUAGGCCCACAUCAUAGGAUUCCACAGGAUUUAUUUUUCCUCCAAUGGAAAACUGGCUGGCAACGGGUACUGCUGCUAAUCGGGACAACAUACCACCACAGUUUACCUCUUUUUUCCAUAAGUUUUACAGCUUUUCCAUUUUUUUUUUUUAAUGGUUUUGUUUUGUUUUUUAAAGGCCCAGCUCCAGGAAUCAGUUAUCACAUAAGAAUCCAAUACCCAGCAAGUAUAGGAAAAGUUAAGUUCACUUUCCAACAUCUAUUAUAUAUGAAACUGCUCCCUGGUUGUGGCAGUAAACACGUGAUGAGUUCUAAACAGCUGCUUGGGAAGGCUUUCAUCUCUGCUUCCUCAGCAAAUGCAGGAAAAGGUCAAGGGAAAGAUUUUGAUGAGCAGUUUGCAAUUGUAACUUAUGUUUAUCUAUUAAUUAUAGUCUCCAAUUUAAAGUUUAUCUGCACUGUUGGGGUGUGCACAGAGCACAAUUCUGUGCUCUAUUUCUGUAAGGCAAAUAGGUGCAGAGCAAGAAGCUCAGAAGCUAAGGCAAAAAUUGUUCUUUUUGAAUCAGCAUUCUUCAUUGCUAUUGCACUGAGAUCUCUGAAUGCCUCUAGGCAGAGAAGAAUCUACGUCUGAUGAUUUGGAGCUCAGAAAGGAGGUGCUCCAGCCUUCAUAAGGUCUUCAGCCUCACCCCGUGGACAUCCAGGCUGCGUACUGUGAAGUUCUGUCUGUCUUUACAUCCUGUCUGCAGCCAUUACAGAGUCCUGGAGUCCUGUAAGGACUGGGAUUUGAUCAUCCAGCUCCGAUCAGAAUCUGUCCAGAUGGAUGGAUUCCAAGGGACAGCUCAUGGCUUGGAAAGAUAGGGCAUAUAAGAUAAAAUGACAAACAGCGAUGCUCUUGAGAAGGCAAAUGAGGAGCUUCUUUAUUUUAUGGUGUCAUGAAAAAAGGGUAGUGGUGGAU